AAGAAGGAGAAAAUAGGGAGGAAACGGAGGUUGUUUAGCUGCAGUAGCAAAUGGCGUCGUGUUGUGGAGUGUGUUGUGAGACCCGGUAACCUGCACCACCACCCCCGCCUCCACCAGCCAUGGGCAGAUCACGCUCCAGGAGCAGGACUCCCAAGAGACACAAGAGCAAGAGGUCACACAAGAGAAGGUCUCGGUCCCGCGAGAGGGAGCGGCGCAGACAUAGAGACCGCGAGAGGUCCAAGGAACGUCCCUCCAAGGCCAGUCGUAAAUUGUCACGCUCAUCAUCAUCAUCCACAACCAGUGACGAGGAACCUAGAACAAGAGAAAAGAAGAUUGAUGAAGUGGACAGGUUGGCUGAGCUGGAGAGAGUUAGGAGGCAGAGAGAAGCAGAACAAAAACUGGUAGAGGAAGUUGCAGCUAAAAGAUUGGAAGAAUUAGUAGCACGCAGAGUAGAGGAGGAGCUGGAACGUAGACGAGAUGAAAUAGAAGCUGAAGUGUUACGUCGAGUGGAGGAGGCCAAGUGCCUCAUGGAACAGCAGAUGCUAGAGGAGUUACAAGAAAAACGUCGUCAGCAGGAGGAGGAUCAGAAGAAGCGAGAGGUAGAGCUUCUCUCCCUGGGCUUCACCGGGGAUUUUUUGCUGGCUUUAUUGAGCCUUAUUUGCUGGAGCUCUAGAAUGCAGACUUUUAGGGAGGGAAGUUUACACAGUGCUCCUAACUUCAUUCUCAAUGUGGGAGAUUCAGAUGGGCUGCUUUCUAGGGCAAUACCUAUGCAGCUACCAAUUUCAGGAAGGCUAAAGCUUUUGCACCAGAGUGGGAGCCUGGGUGGUUGAUUCAUGGGAGGGACUCGUUCUCUGGAGUAGGUCUGGGUUUCACGAACCUUUUUAAUCAAUAUUUAUUAAGAGAUCUCUAAACAAUCAACUUAAUGUGAUGUGAGGCCUCAGUUGCUUAUGGUCAAUGGCAUUAUUAUUAUUUUUAUUUUUUAAGGUCAUCCACAGUGAUUAGUGUAGACAAUCAUGUUGUACUCUGCAAUCAAAUCAGGAGUGAUAGGAUUAAUAUAAUUUCUACAGUUGGUUGUCAGGAAAGGACUGCAGAAUAAUAAUAUACUGUAAUACAUUUGUCUAAUAACUGUUAUUUAAUUCAUAACUAGGUAAAAAAAAAAGAUAAGAUCAAUAAAUUUCCAUUCUGCAUGAAGACUAACUCACACUCUUUCAGCUGAUUCUUUGUGUUUUGAAAGUGAAAUGUGAAUUUGAGCCAAUUAAAGAUUCCAGAGAUGUGCUGUACAAACUUUGUAAACUUUGGUAUGUGAUAAAGUUUAAUCACGUUGCUCCCAGACAGUUACCAUGUUGAGUGUGAAGUGACUGGCUGUUGUCUCCCCCCCCUUCUCUAUCAUUUGUGUUUUAUUAUUAUACCGUUGUAUACGUGUAUUUCCUUGUGAAUAUUAUGUAUAUCCUUCAUAUUCCUCAUCAUGUGUGUGUGGUGUGUGUGUGUGUGUAGAUGGUUGUGUGUAUGAUCCGUUUAUGUUUGUCUGGAAACACACGAACAUAGCAGUGUGGCAAUGAGGCACUUUAGUGGACAACCACUCUAAACAGACUAGACAUAAUAAUGGCGGCUUGCAACCAAGAAUUGUCAGCUGCGGAUUUUAGGCCAGAGCAGUUCUAGGAGUGGAUUUGACGGCAUCUUUAUGGUAACUAUAUAACAGGAGGAGGAACGUAAGCAACGUGAGGAGCUGGAACGGAUUAUGGAGGAGAAUAAGAGAAAGAUAGAAAUUGCACAGAUGAAAUUGGCUGAGCAGCAGCUACAGAUGGUCGAGGAGCAACG
rnacentral:misc_RNA from 1 species